GCUGGGUGUGUUGGCACAUGCCUGUAAUCCCAGCUACUCAGGAGGCUGAGGCAGAAGAAUCACUUGAACCCAGGAAGCUGAGGUUGCAGUGAGCCAAGAUUGCGCCAUUGCACUCCAGCCUGGGCAACAGAGUGAGACUCUGUCUCAA
ensembl:misc_RNA Metazoa_SRP Metazoan signal recognition particle RNA